rnacentral:rRNA from 1 species
AGAGUUUGAUCCUGGCUCAGGAUGAACGCUAGCGACAGGCUUAACACAUGCAAGUCGAGGGGCAGCGGGGCGGCAGGCUUGCCUGCCGUUGCCGGCGACCGGCGCACGGGUGACUCACCCGUAUGCAACCUGCCCGCGGCAGGGGGAUAAGCGGCGGCAAACCCCGUCUAAUACCGCGUAAUGCGGCCUAGGGACAUCCCAAGGCCGCCCAAGGGAGCAAUCCCGGCCACGGAUGGGUAUGCUGCGCAUUAUCUAGUCGGCGGGGUAACGGCCCCACUGAGGGCGACUAUGCUUACGGGUUCUGAGAGGAACGCCCCCCACACUGGUACUGAGACACGGACCAGACUCCUACGGGAGGCAGCAGUGAGGAAUAUUGGUCAAUGGGCGCGAGCCUGAACCAGCCAAGUCGCGUGAGGGAGGACGGCCCUACGGGUUGUAAACCUCUUUUGCCGGGGAGCAACGGGCGUCACGUGUGGCGCCACUGAGAGUACCCGGAGAAAAAGCAUCGGCUAACUCCGUGCCAGCAGCCGCGGUAAUACGGAGGAUGCGAGCGUUAUCCGGAUUUACUGGGUUUAAAGGGUGCGUAGGCGGAUCGUUAAGUCAGUGGUCAAAUUGAGGGGCUCAACCCCUUCCCGCCAUUGAAACUGGCGUUCUUGAGUGGAAGAGAAGUAUGCGGAAUGCGUGGUGUAGCGGUGAAAUGCAUAGAUAUCACGCAGAACCCCGAUUGCGAAGGCAGCAUGCCGGCUUUCGACUGACGCUGAAGCACGAAAGCGUGGGGAUCGAACAGAAUUAGAUACCCUGGUAGUCCACGCGGUAAACGA